UACGUAGGGUGCAAGCGUUGUCCGGAAUUAUUGGGCGUAAAGAGCUCGUAGGCGGUUCGUCGCGUCGGCUGUGAAAUCCCGAGGCUCAACCUCGGGUCUGCAGUCGAUACGGGCGGACUGGAGUUCGGGCGAGGGGAGACGUGGAAUUCCGUGGUGUGCGGUGAAAUGCGCAGAUAUCAGGAGGAACACCAAUUGCGAAGGCAGCUCGCUGGGACGUUACUGACGCUGAGACGCGAAAGCGUGGGGAGCAAACAGG
rnacentral:rRNA from 1 species